GGGGCUUCUACAAGCCACACAGAGGUUCUCCGGCUUCUUUUCCUCCCUUUCUCUGCUUCAGCAUCACCGCAUGCGGUCACCAUGUCGGACCCAGAAGCUGACACCUUGCGAAGCACCUUUCCCUCUUACAUGGCGGAAGGCGAGCGGUUGUAUCUGUGCGGGGAGUUCUCUAAAGCUGCCCAGAGCUUCAGCAACGUGAGUCGCGCUCUGAACGUACCGAUUACCCAAUCACCCCUUCUAAUUCCCGGUAACACUGAGGUCCCCGUGGUGCUGGAGGACCCUAUUGUUUCUAUGAUUCACUUGUGCCUAAUUGACGCACUACUGGCACCGCUCGGCCAUUUUCUACCAAUUCUCACUUGCCUUCUGCUGUUAAUAACCAUUCUCUGCAUUAACAGUGACUUCUACUUUUUGCUGAAUGUUUUGUGACUCACUGGCCUCUUUCCACAGAGCAGCCUUUAUUACCCUUGGAGGCUGCAUAUACAAGUGGUGCAAUCUCUGGCACACAGUUGCUCACAGAUGGUCAGUAUAGCACUAACAUUGUACAUAACCUUAGUAUGACUCGAUCCACCCCGUCCUACGGUGCUAAGCACAGUAUGACCCUAUGAGGGAGGUUCUGUUAUGAAUCCAUUUUAUGGACGAGGAAACUGAUGUAGAAGUGGAUUACGUGUCCGAGAUUCAUUGAACUGGCAAGAGAAAGGAUUCAAACCCAGGCAGUCAGAUUCCAGGGCUAGAUACUAACCACCAUACAUACUCCCUCACAAGUAAGCUGUUAGAUGUUCUUACCACAAUUUCUUUUACAACCAAUCCUUCUCAUUCCAAAGGGAGUGGCAGGAUAGCCCUCUAACCAUCCCAAGACUCCCCCUAAAGUCAAGCUUCUCCACUGCUACCCAAAGUCUUUUGUCCCUUUGGCUCACCAACCACACCCUAAAACCAGAACUGGUUGGCCAGAUGGGUUAAGGGUUGAGUUCAGGAUCCCUGCCUCCACCCAGUCUCCUCUUUCAGGAUCGCAUUCCAUCCUAGAGAAGCUCAGGCAGAGUGAAAAGAACACCCUGAGGGAAAAUAGCUUUGGUUGAGAAGUAGCCUUCUUCUGGAAAAGCCAGUAGCUGCUUCCUGUAAAAAGUAGGUCUUAGAAAGGUGUGAGUGGAGUCUGAUGCCUCAGGAAGGACAGUACGUCAAAGCACCUAUGAUGAUUUCAGACAGAAGAGAGGACAUGGGGAGAAGUGUUCCAUUCUCGCCUUACUCCCCAAAUCACAGUUUCAGUUUUGCUAGCAUUUUCAUCUUGAUCUCCUGAAAUAGUGAUUCCUUCUCAAUAAGGGAGUAAGGAAGAGAGAGUUGGGGAAUGGAUGCCUCAAGUGGCAGGUGUCCUAAAACCCAUUUCGUUAGCCUUCAGAGUGCUUAGCCUCACAAAUGUAUUUUGAGUGUAGUGCAGCCUUUUGAGGUUUGUAGGUGAACUCAGUAGGCGCAAAAAAAUCCUAAGCUUCUGUCACCUGAGUGGACCGGAGGAAUCCGAGACGUUUUGGGAAAAUUCCAUAUAUCCACAGAGUGGUAUCUGCAUCUCUCUCAGCCAGUCGCUUCCACAACAGCUAGUGAUUUGACCUUGUCUGAGAGGAGCUACGUGCAGACAGUCAAGUUGGCGGAGCGAAGAUCAGUGUUAUGCUGCUUCUGGUCUGAUCAGAUCCAGAGACAUGUUUGCCGGCCUGAGGAAUCCCCCGGAAGCCCUGGCAGGAGGGUUUGGGAGGCCCUUUCCGGUCCCGCUUCUACCUCGUGCUGCCUGGUGCCUGUCGACCUGGGUGGUUCGUUUCUUAGGCUCUUCACCUUCAGAAUGGAGAUAAGAACUGCCUGGUUGCCCGGUCCAAAUGCUUCCUGAAGAUGGGAGAGUUGGAGAAAUCCCUGCAGGAUGCUGAGGCUUCGCUCCAGGGUGACCCGACUUUCUGUAAGGUGACUUUACGUAUGGGUGGGAGGACUUAGGCUAACCAGAUUGCCUAGGGUUUGAUGCCGUUUUCUCGCCUUAGGUCACUUAUCUAGCUCCCUGCCCCUGCAUCCCAACCUGGAUCCUCAACCCAGGACCCUCUCUGUUCCACCACGCCGAAGUCCCAUAAAGCCUUGUCUGUCCACCUCAAUUUGACUUCUCUCGUUUCAGGGGAUUUUACAAAAGGCUGAGACCUUGUACACCAUGGGGGACUUUGAGUUUGCGCUGGUGUUCUAUCAUCGAGGCUACAAGCUGCGGCCUGACCAAGAAUUCAAAGUUGGAAUUCAGAAAGCCCAGGAAGCCAUCAACAACUCAGUGGGAAGUGAGUGACCAUUGGACCUGUGCCCUUAUCCAGGGAGGCUCUUGGAAUCCUUAGGCUUGGCGAUACGAGUGAGCAGCCACCACCAGGCCUGCAGGGAGCAUGCUUGGAUUUAGCUGCUGCUGAUUUUGUUGGAGAUUAGGAACUGUCUACCCAGAGGACCAGCUCCUGAGCCACUGUGCUCAGCUCUGCAACUUCUGGUUCUCCUCCAAGGGCAGGCUGUUCACAUUAGGCCUGUCUUUGGCCUGGUUUCAUAGGGUAGGUUGGGGUUCUGAGCAUAGCCUGCCCUAGGACCUGGCCUCCUCUCUUACCACAUCUGCACCAAGGACUGGACUUACCUGUCAGGUUGGUGGCAGGGGGAGGAGGGAGGAGAGCACGAAUUUGCCUCCUUGGGUGGGCUGCAGAGUGUGGAAAUGCCUGGGGAUAGAGAGCUCCUCCAGUGCUUAGGGACUGCCUUCUUUUGGAAAUUUGGCGGCCUUGGCCUUGGGCUAGAGGGGGGUGCCCAGCUCUUAGGAGGCUGUAAUUCCUUCCAAGCAUCCGGGUACCAGUAAUCUGCUGGGCUCGCUCAGAGCCAGCUUUGCCACAACCUCCACCACCCCCUGCCAAAGGCAGCCAUUUCUACAUAAAAGUAGGUGAUAGAUCAUGCCUGAGGGCCUGGCAGACCUGAGCCAGACUUCUCUCCUUGCAGGUCCUUCUUCAAUUAAGCUGAAGAACAAAGGGGACGUCUCCUUCUUGAGCAAGCAGGCUGAGGUGAGGGCCUUGGUUCUGACACCACAGCCCGCCCAAGGAGAAGCCCACAUGGGCCUGAGCAGCACAGGUCUCAGUGGCCUUCUUACCUGGGGACGGUCAGCUUCUGCCCAUCACGGGCAGCCAUGGGUUUCUGCCCCGGCCCCAGAGCAGUCUUGUUCCCAGACCAGACACACUCCGUGGUUCUGGGUGCACAGAGAGGGCCCUGGAGGAGAUGUCUGGGAUCAUAGACUCUGGGGCCAUGACUGGGUACUCUGUGAUCCCUGUUGAGGCUCUGUCGGGUGUCACUCCAUCUUACCAGAGUAUGAAAGCCCAGCAGAAGCCUCAUCCCAUGAGACACCUCGUACACCACCCCAAGAUAGAGUCCAAGCGGAAGGGCUCGUUGAAGAGUGAGAAGAUUGUCCGCCAGCUCCUGGGCGAGCUCUACGUGGACAAGGAGUAUCUGGAGAAGCUCCUUUUGGAUGAAGGUUUCAGACACUUUGUUUGCGACAGGGAACUUGGGGCAGAAGAAAUCUGGGACGGGUGCUUAAUGCACGAGCGGGAGACAGAGCCUGUCGUGUAACAUGAGCCGAUAUGCUCCUAUGGACAGGUUUUCCUAGCGUUCUCAUUUACAGAUGAGGAAACUCAGGUGCAGAAAGGUUAAGUAACUCACCUAAGGUGGCGCAUAGGUAAACAGUGGACUUGAAUCUUAAGACGUCCCAUUUCAGAACCAGUGCUCUUGGCAUUAUGGUGCCCUGCGAGGGAACACCAGAGAUGUGGGUCCUUGGAGGGGCAUCCUCUGAGCCUUCAAUUUGUACAACGGGCAAAGGAAUCUAGCUGGGACUUGCUGGGGGGAAUCCUACGAUACUAGUACUCGAAUGUUCUGAAACCUCAUCUGGUCUAAUCCCCCCUUUUAUAGAUAAGGAAAGAGAGACCCUGAAUGGGGAGUAACUUGUCCAAGGUGACAAGCAAGUUCAUGGCAAAGUUGGCACCAGAGGCCGGCCUCCUAACCUCAGGUCCAGCGCUCUUUCCACCAUACUGUGCUGGCGGUGGCAGAAAAUAGGGCAGAGCCUUGAAAUGAAAUGGGAGGGUGGGAGUCUUGCCGUUAGCUGAUAAACCUAAGCAGGAUUCAUCCUUGAAUCAAAUGCCUUUUCUCCAGAACUGACUUCCUGAGGGCAUCUGCAGAACGCCCUGCAGGUCUGUGUCUCGAGCAGCUUCACUGCUGGCCCAUCUCUGAAAGAGGCCUGAAAACUUCCUUCCCUCCAGAGGAUCUUCUGUGGAGGAAGGGGUAGCCUGAAAUUUAUCCCCAAGAAGCCCUGCAGUUUUGCUACCAGCUCUAACCUCGGAUCAGGCAGGCGGGCAGAGCCUGGGCACGCCCCCACUCCCCCACCCCGGCUCCCAGCUUGCACUGACCCACUGGCACCUGGGGAAUCACUUGGCACUCGUAACCUGGACCAGGUUGUGCAUUCAUACUUAGUCUUCUCAGAGGACACAACCUGAAAUAAGGGAGCCCUGCGGGUUGGGGUCCUUUCAGAAAGCUAUCCGCCAGCUGCCCCUUCUGCUAGCUCCUUCUAUCUUGCCAUAAGAGGCCUGUGCACUGAAUUCGGCACCCUGGGAGUGCCUGGAAAGGGGGCUCUGGCCUCACCUGGGUCCACAUAGAGCUACUCUGUCACCUAUGUGCCCUUGCUUUCUCCAACUCAAAGCAGAGAGCCCCACAGGGGCCCCCGCAGCAAGGAUCCCCAGCCAAGAGGAGGUAGCUCCCUUACAUGCCCAUUCUAGUUGGUUUCUCCUCACACCCUUCUCCCCAGACCUGAUCAAAGGCACCAUCAAGCACGGCCUGACCGUGGAGGACCUCAUCAUGACAGGCAUCAACUACCUGGACACCCGCAGUAAUUUCUGGAGACAGCAGAAGCCCAUCUAUGCCAGGGAGCGGGACCGGAAGCUGAUGCAAGAGAAAUGGCUGCGAGACCGCAAACGGCAGCCCUCACAGACAGCCCGCUACAUCCUCAAGAGCCUCGAGGACAUUGACAUGUGUGGGUAGUGUUCUUGGAAGGGCGAGGCCUUCGCCAGGCGGUGGAAUGCAGCACUGUGGCCUGAGACCCUGGUUUCGCUGGCCUGUGGAUGGUAUCCCCUGUGGGGAGGUGGGUUCUCCCCUCAGCCUGAGGAGGCUGCUCCCGCCUCCAUGUCCCCUGUUCCCCUUCCUAGUGCUGAGCAGCGGCAAUGCUGAAGGGAGCCUUCAGAAGGCUGAGAAGGUGCUGAAGAAGGUGCUGGAAUGGAACAAAGAGGAGGUGCCCAACAAGGAUGAGCUGCUUGGAAACUUGUACAGCUGCAUAGGGAACGCCCAGAUUGAGCUGGGGCAGAUGGUCGCAGCCCUGCAGAGCCACCGGAAGGACCUGGAGAUUGCCAAGGAACAGUGAGUGUCCAGGAAAAGCUGAGCAGCUGAGGCCCGUGGGCCUGCAGACGAGGGGGGCAGGGGCGGUGCCUGGCCUUUUGCCAGGACUGCUGGCGGGUGAACUCCUAGGACCGAGGCUAAGAGGCGGACCUAGACUGUCAGCUUUUUUGCCACAAAGAGGAAGGAAGUGGCCCCAAUGCCAGAAAGCUCCCAGAGGUUUGGCUCUGAGGGGUAUUUUUAUUCUUUAUUUUUUUAAGUUUUUAUUUAUUUAUUUUGAGAGAGAGAGAGAGAGAGAGAAUGAAUCCCAAGCAGGCUCCACACUGUCAGUGCAGAGCCAGACUCGGGGCUCUAUCUCACAAACUGCAAGAUCAUGACCUGAGCCGAAAUCAAGAGUGGGUGGCUUAACCGACUGAGCCACCCAGGUGCCCCAAGGGUAUUUCUGUUCUUAAAUCAUCUCAAGAAGCGUAUAUCAACCCCAGACUUGCCACAUGUUGCUAGCAUUAAGAACACAGCAGUGACCCAAAAUAAGGGUCAUCUCCCUGCAGAUGUAAAACAAAAAAAUGACAUAGCUAAUAAAUGGUAAUUGUGAGACGUGUCACAAAGGAGAAGUACAGGACCCAGUGCUAUGAGGAGUAUAUUCCAGGAGGAUAGGACUGGGCCCUGGGGAGCACACUUGGUCUAUGGGAGGACCCUGAAGGAGGCCGAUGGAAGCUUGAUGCUGGAGAGCACAGAGUAUUGCCAGGGGAAGAGUGACCAAGAGGAAGCCAGGCCAAAUGGCAGGGGUCAGAUCGAACAGGGUCUUGGAAACUAUGGUGCUGACCAAGAGCACGGGGCUCUAGAGUCCACCUCACCUGGGCUUUGGAAUUGUACCUCGCAGGCAAAACCGCAGCCUUGGGGCCUUAGGCAAGGGACUUCCCCUGUCCCAGCUGGGUGUCCUCUGUCAAUGGGCAUAACAGUAGCCCCUUCCUGAUAGGGGGGAAGGAAGAAACCACGCAGAAGUCCAUGUAAAGAUCUCAGGACAGUGCCAGGUAUCCAUAAUAGUAUGAAUACCAGCUAUCAGCUCUUCCCAAGACUUGAGGGUCCCUCUCAAGGUGCCAUCAGUUUCCAGUCAUCCUGAAUCUAACCUGUAGAGCCCUCCAUGACGUUCCCCUGCUCGGUUCCCAUUUGUCCACAGUCUGAGCCUCCCUCCCACCUCCCAUUAUCCAUUUCCGGUCACAGAUCAGGGGCUCGGCUGUCUCUGCCUCCAGCUGCUCCCACACCUCACCUCCAGCGACCUGCAUUUCAUCCCCCAACCCUUCUAACCCUGUUGACACACUGGCCUUGGCCCCUUGUUGUCUGCGGGUUCAAACCACCUGCCUUCACUUGGCACCCAAGGCCUCUUGUGAACCCACUUCUGCACAGCGCUCCCUGUCACUCCUCCAUUUGGGUCAAACCCUAUUUCUUCUUCUUCUUUUUCUUCUUCUUCUUCUUCUUCUUCUUCUUCUUCUUCUUCUUAAAAAAUCUUUUAAUGUUUAUUUAUUUUUGAAAGAGAGAGAGAGAGAAAGAGAGAAAGACAGAGUGCAAGUGGGGGAGGGGCAGAGAAAGAGGGAGACCCAGAAUCUGACGCAGGCUCCAGGCUCUGAGCUGUCAGAACAGAGCCCGAUGCGGGGCCCACAAACCACGAGACCAUGACCUGAACCGUAGUUGGGCGCUCAACCGACUGAGCCACCCUGGCGCCCCUGGGUCAAACCAUAUUCCUUGAAGGCUCCUGCCUCCCACCCUCUCCUCACUCACCGGAGCCCCAUGUACUAUUCGUUCCCAGUUCAUCUCUCACUGGCCUUUGCGUACUGAGCAGAAGUAUCCCAUAGCAGCUGUUCUGGAAGUAGAAAACAACCCAGCAGCUUUGGAGACACGGCCGGGUUUGAUUCCCAGGUUUGAUUCCCGGCUCUGGCACUCUGAGGCUGUGUGGAUUUGAUUAAGUUGCUCAUCUCCUCGGUUUGCUCAUCUCUGAUGAAGGCAUAAUAAUACCGACUCAGGGACUAUGAGGAUGAAAUGAGAUAUGUGUUGACAGUGCCGUGAAUCCAGCUGUCUCCCAGGCCCUGAGGACUUACUUAUUACCUUUGCUUCUCACCACCCCUCCCUCCCGAGCCCCAGGUCCGCAUAGCCAACCGAAUCCCAGGCAUUUUCACUUGGGUGUCCCACAGGAAUCCCAAAUUUAACAUGUCCAAAGUGGAACCCCUUAUCUUCCUCCCCAACCUCUUGCUCCAGGGUUCUCUGUCUGCGGGGAUGGCUCUCUUGGCCACUCAGUCCCCAAGAAGGAGCCCAGGCAGCUUCUCAGAUUCCUCCCUCCCUUCCGUGCUCAUGCCCAGCCAGCCUACGUCUUGUCUGGGCCUCCUCCUUCCUGUCUCCUCGGUGUUUUUCCAUUUCCCUCCCACAGCUCAGUCCAGACCCUCCUCAUUUCUAGACUGAUUCCUCCAUCCUGGGUUUCCUGGAGCCCACCUGGCCCUUCUGUGCAAAACAAGUCCAGUCGUGGGUCGGGAUGAAGUUCCAGCUCCCAGUUCUGCUCAGCGUGGUCUGCCCUUCCUGACCUGACUUGUCCUGGCCUCAAUUGACCUAGUUCUCUCCAGGCCCCUGGGCGUCUUGGGCCUCAGCCAGCACCUUGUGGCUCUGUUCCUGCAGCCCCUAAAGAGGACUUCCUUCUCUCUAGCCAGCACUUUCUUUAUCAGCUCCCUCCUUCCCAUCCUUCAAAUUUUGUUUAUUUAAGACAAUUUUUUCAAGUUUAUUUGUUUUGAGAGACAGCGAGCAUGAGUGAGGGAGGGAGAGAGAGAAUCAGAAGCAGGCUUCAUGCACUGUCACUGUGGAGCCCAAUGUGGGGCUUGAUCACGAACCGCGAGAUCAUGACCUGAGCUGAAAUCAGGAGUCCACUGCUUAACCAACUGAGCCACUCAGGCACAGGCACCACCACCCCCUUCAAAUUUUAAAUGUGUGUCCCCUGGGUGAUAUAGAAAUCCCCCUUUAAUGUUCCCUCUGCACACUCCAUGUGGAUCUUGGCUCCCCUUGGACUUUGGAAGGGACUAUCAUAUAUCCCUUUCCCUUUCCAGCAGCUGCCACUUAGUGGGCAUGUGAUAAAUGCACGCCAAGUGGCUAAGCAAAUAGAGGUGUUCUUUUGAUAACGUUAGGCCCUUUUUAACACCCAUGAAGGGGCCUCCAGUCUUGUUUGUGAGUUCAGGUCCUCCCUCGUUGUAAUCAGCAAUGCUCCACAUGUGCCUCCCACCUCCAGAGCCUGCCAGCCCUCAUUUCUCCCUUCAGACACUCUAGAUUGCAUGCUUUAUCAUUGCUAUUAUUUCUUGUUACACGGUAUUAUGAAUAAGUUAGCAUUCAUUCAUUCAUUCAUUCAUUCAUCACACCAUAGCAGAGCACCCUCUCUAGAAGGGGGAGGCUGCCAUCGGGGGUGCCAUCAGAGCAGCAGGUGCACAAUGUGGGUGAAGGUCCAAGGAGAGGCAGGUGGGAGCACUGGCGGGAGCUGAGGGGGCCUCGGAGAGGACAGGUCAACCAAGUGGACCAGCGGAGAGGGAGGAGGGCACCCUAGGCGGAGAGAGAGAAGCAGCAGGGGUGGAAGCUGCGGGGGGUGGGGCAGGACCUAUGGGGAGUGGCAGUCUAGAUCCCAUGCUGAAGAGGACUGAGGGCCGAGUCUGUUUUUACACAAGUACUAGUGUGAGUGUGGUACUUGGUCCAGAGCUCUGUGGCACGGAGAGCAGAACUUGGAAGUCCCCCCCUCCUCCCCCACCUCCCAGGACCACACCCCCCUCACUUCCCUGGGGUCAUGUAGACAUGUGGCCUUCUGGCCCCUUUGCAAUAUAUUUACCUGUGUAUUUCUGUACAUAAGCACAUACCUAGGAUUCUCAAAACAAAAGCAACUCGUUUUUGUGGUUUUUAAAAAGCAUGUGCCUUGGAAAGGGUCUCGUCCUUUAAAUGGCUCCAGAGAAAGGAAUUUCAGCACACAACGUACUUUCUUGCACUGUGUCCCUGUGGGCAGACAUGCAGGAUGUUCCAUUUUUGUCAUCAUGCACAGCAAUACAGUGCAACUCGGUGCUUGUGUGUGCAUGUUUCUGUGGCGAGAGCAAUGGCCUGAUGAGAUGUGCAUGUUUGAAAGGCAGGCUCUGUUCACACUGGGGAGAAUGAGUCCAAGGUGCCAAGUUGCAUGGGGGACACAGGAGCCCGCUGGAUGGCAGGGCCUUGGGUGAGGACAAGGGAAAGAGUGGGAGGAGAUGCUGGGGGUGACGGGAGCAUUGGAGGAGGGUUUUCUUAUUUUCUUUGUUGGGGAGGAAGUUUUUGACAGAUCAGAGUGUUCGUAUGGUGGUGAUGGUAAAGAACCAAUGUAAGGGGAACAAUUGUGUUUUUCUUUAUGGAAAUAUCUUACUCUAUUUUCUGUUGUUACAGGAAUACUGUACACAAUUUAAACAAUAUGGAUAAAUAAAUAGUUUUCCUCAUAGUCUCAUUUCCCCUGGGUAAUCACUGUUAAUAGUUAGACUUACAUCCUCUCAACUUCUUUUUUUUAUUAAAAAAAAUAAUUUUUUUUAAUGUUUAUUUAUUUAUUUUUAUUUUUUUUUUUUAAUUUUUUUUUCCACGUUUAUUUAUUUUUGGGACAGAGAGAGACAGAGCAUGAACGGGGGAGGGGCAGAGAGAGAGGGAGACACAGAAUCAGAAGCAGGCUCCAGGUUCUGAGCUGUCGGCACAGAGCCCGACGCGGGGCUCAAACUCACGGACCGAGAGAUCACGACCUGAGCCGAAGUCGGACCCUUAACCGACUGAGCCACCCAGGCACCCACCUCUCAACUUCUUUUAAAAAUGCCCAUUAAAAAAUUUUUUUUAAUGUUUAUUUAUUUUUGAGAGAGAGAGAGAGAGAAUAAAGGAUGGGCAGAGAGAGAAGGAGACACAAAAUCCAAAGCAAGCUCCAGGCUCUGAGCUGUCAGCACAGAGCCCCACAUCGGGGCUGUCACUGUCAGCACAGAGCCUGAUGUGGGGCUCGAACCCACGAACCAUGAGAUCAUGACCUGAGCCGAAGUCAGACGCUUAACCAACUGAGCCACCCAGGUGCUCAUUUUAGGUGCCAAAAAAUGGGCACCUGGGUGGCUCAGUCCAUGGAGCAUGCAACUCUUGAUCUUGGGGUUGAGUUCAAGUCCCACGUUGGGUGUAGAGAUAGCUUGAAAAUAAAAUCUUUAGGGGUGCCUGGGUGACUCAGUCGGUUAAGUAUCCGGCUCUGGAUUUCAGCUCAGGUCCUGAUCUCACAGUUCAUGAGUUUGACCCCCACAUCGGGCUCUGUGCUGACAGUGUGGAGCCUGCUUGGGAUUCUCUCCCUCUCCCUGUCUCUGUCCCUCCCACGCAUGCUUGUGCUCUUUCUUUCUCUCUCUCUCUCUCUCUCUCUCUCUCAAAGUAAAUAAAUAAACCUUAUUAAAAAAAAAGAGAAAAUCUUUUAAAAAAUGCCCACUUUUUAUUCAUUCACUUCUUUUUUGGUGAGUGAAAAUAACACACGCUCAUUCUCUUACAGAUCUGAAGGGUAGAGUCGUAAGCCAUUGUCACUGGACCAGAACCAAUGUGUUGGCAGGGCUGUGCUCCCUUUAUAGGCUCUAGGGAGAAUCUGUUUCCAGCCUUUUCCACCUUCUACACUUGUACUCCGUGCAUUGAGCGUAACUCAUCCAUGGCUCCUUCCUCCAUCGUCAGGCCAGGGGCACAGCAUCGUGCCUCAGGCCUGCAUGUUUAUUUUUGGCACAAACAGGGCAAUAGACCUAGUCUAUGCUCCUAUAAUCUGACUUUUUUUUUUAGGUUUAUUUAUUUAGUUUGAGAGCAAGACAGAGCAAGCAGGGGAGGAGCAGAGAGAAAGAGAGAGAGAGAAGAGAGAGAAUCCCAAGCAGGCUCCAUGCUGCCAGCAUGGAGCCUGACUCUGGGCUCGAACUCACAAACUGUGAGAUUCAUGACCUGAGCCGAAAUCAAGAGUCAGAUGCUUAACCGACUGAGCCACCCAGGUGCCCCUAUAAUCUGGCUUUUUAACUUAAUAUGUGAGGGACUUUUUUUUUUUUAUACACAAAAAUUGCCAGCACUAGGGCACUGGUUUAGAUUGUUUCUGAUGUUUACCAUUAUAAAGAGUGCUUUAAAGAAUGCCCUUCUCCAGGUAAAUUCCUAGAAGGGAAAUUGCUGCAUCAAAGGACAUGUGGUAAGCUCUUGAGUGAUUAUUCUCUGGAAAGAUCCCAAAGGUGUUCAUUCAUGGCCACAGAGCCCAAGAGGGCCUAUGUGCCACAGCCUCGCCUCCUGGAUAUCAUCCCUCCAACCCACCCUACCCGAGUCCUGGAGGCCAGAGGCCCUGUCUUUGCUUCUUUUCAAUUCCUACAGCUCGAAGAAUGGCCAACUUCUAGUGAACAACUUAUUCUGCUUCUUCCCCACAGUGACCUUCCUGAUGCUAAGUCAAGAGCCCUUGACAACAUCGGCAGAGUUUUUGCCAGAGUUGGGAAAUUCCAGCAAGCCAUCGACACGUGAGUGCUCAGGGCUGUCCCUGCCCCACCCUCGGGCCAGGAUUCCCCACUUCCCACCAGACUCCCAGCCAGGGGCCAGCAUGCCAGGCAAAGAGGCAUCAGAAGACCCAAGUUUGGCUCCAGGCUCUGCUAGGUGACCAGGGGCAAGCCGUUUUGUAAGCUCUGAGGCUCAUUUGUUAAUUGGCUGGAAUCAGCAUCUUCUCAAAAUUUCCCAGUGACAAGAAUCCCCUGCAGUACAGGUAUACGAACACCUGUCUCUGCACUGGAAAUUCUGAUUCUACCAGUCUGGGUGGGAGCCCAAGAACCUGGUUUUAACAAAGCCCUCCAGAUGGUUCUCACCUUGGGCAAGUUCAGGAACUGCCUGACCUUGGGGAUCUCUUCUGAGGCUCUUCUGUGACUCUGGGAAGUCAACAUGGACUCGCUGGGAAGGGAGGCUGAGUUCUCCAGGUGACCCAAUCACUGAAGUGUUGAUGUGCAACCCUGGGUCAACAGUCUGCUCCAAUGGGGCAGCUCAGCGCCGGGGAAACUCCGGAGAGAGCCUGGCCCGCCUGGCGACCAGCCUGCAUGGAGAGGUUCCACGGGCCCAUUCGCUUACCCCUGAGAGCAGCUGUCCUACCGGUGCUCAGUGCUGGAUCGAAAUAGACUCGUUCACCAGGACCCUGUGCUCCAGGCAACUUGGUUUCCUGAAUGGCCCCUGGUGUCUAUGUGCCAAAAGAUGGAGGAGUUUGAGAGUUCACCCACCCAUGUGCAUCUUUUUAUAAGAAAAUGUUUUAGGAGCUCCUGGGUGGCUCAGUGCGUUAAGUAUCAGACUCUUGGUCUCAGCUCAGGUCAUGAUCUCACGGUCAUGAGUUCAUACCCUGCAUUGGGCUCUACACUGGGUGUGAAGCCUACUUUAAAAAAAAAAAAAAGAAAGAAAGAAUAUGUUUUCUAGUAAAUCUGUGCUUAUUGCUAAAAUAUUAAUUUGGAAAAUAUGGAAAAGUAGCAGAAAAACUACUCAAUCUCACCCCCCCGAAGACAAUGAUUAACUCUAAUCUUGCUCUUACUUUAUUGAGGUCUCGCGUUUUUUUUUUAUUCUAAUAUUUUCUCGGUAUUGAUUUUGUCUUCUGUAUACUUAGUGAGAUUCUUCAAUGUUAUUUUUAUGUUAUUUUUAAAGAUAAAAAAAUUUUUUUUUAUGUUUUAUAUUUGAGAAAGAGAGAGACAGAGACAGAGACAGCCAGCAGGGGAGGUGCAGAGAGAUGGAGAAAGAAUCUGAAGCAGGCUCCAGGCUCCAAGCUGUCAGCACAGAGCCCCAUGUGGGGCUCGAACUCAUGAACUGUGAGAUCAUGACCUGAACUGAAGUCAGAUGCCCAACCGACUGAGCCACCCAGGCACCCCUUAAGAUUUUUAAAAAAUGGUUAUUCAUUUUUGAGAGAGAGAGAGAGAGAGAGAGAGAGAGCGCGCGCGCAUGAGCUGGGGAGGGGCAGAGAAGAGGAAGACACAGAAUCCCAAGCAGGCUCGAGGCUCUGAGCUGUCAGCACAGAGCCUGACGUGGGGCCUUGAGAUUAUGACCUGAGCCGAAGUUGGACACUUAACCCACUGAGCCACCUGGGUGCCCCUAUGUUAUUUGAAACGCAAGUUUGUAAACAUUAUCUCCGAUUGUAUCAGAUUCGAUUCCGUAAAUGUACCAAAAUAGCUCUGUUAGUUUGGAAAUAUCUUAACGCUUAUGGCUCCAUCCCCGUGUCUGAAAGAGCUGGUAGUUGGAGCACAAGUUCUGUUCUGCCCCGGGAAGGAGCCCUGGCCUCCUGUGGCCGAGUAAAGGGUUUGGGUGGAAAGAGCCGACCCUGGUUCUUCGUGUUCCCAGGUGGGAGGAGAAGAUCCCUCUGGCAAAAACCACGCUGGAGAAGACCUGGCUGUUCCACGAGAUUGGCCGCUGCUACUUGGAGCUGGACCAGGCCUGGCAGGCCCAGCAUUACGGCGAGAAGUCCCAGCAGUGUGCUGAGGAAGAAGGGGACAUCGAGUGGCAGCUGAACGCCAGCGUUCUGGUGGCACAGGCACAAGGUAUGGGCACAGAGAGGACUGUCCUACCUUUCCCAGCCCUCAGGGCCCGCUGCCAUGCCAUGGCCAGAAGCUUUACCAUCAAUGUAUCCCUGGCCAGGUUAAUUUUUUUUAAUGUUUAUUUGUUUAAAAAAAAUUUUUUUAAAUGUUUAUUUAUCUUUGAGAGACAGAGAGAGACAGAGCACGAGUGGGGAAGGGGCAGAGAGAGGGAGACACAGAAUCCGAAGCAGGCUCCAGGCUCCAAGCUGUCAGCACAGAGCCCGACUCGGGGCUUAAACUCACAUACCGUGAGAUCAUGACCUGAGCCAAAGUCAGAUGCGCAACUGACUAAGCCACCCAGGUGCCCCUUAGUCUGGCCAGGUUAAUUCUGACUCUGAGGGUGGACGAUAAACCCCUCUGUUUUGCCCAGCGUGCGGUAAGUGCCUUCUUUAAGCUAGGCUCAGAUAGAGCUUGGGGCACCCCGGAAGCUGGCCCUGCUGUCGAAGAGCUCGGCCACAGACCAGCAUAGCACUGUGCCAUUGUCAGAAGAGCGCCACUUCCCCCAGCCCUGGUGCUCUGUGCACAUGCAUUCUAGCACUUACUCACCAUGUGAACCAAUGACGAAGGUGUUAUCUUCCUCAUUUUGCAGACGGUGGGAGGGGUAGGGGUAAACGAGGCGCUGAGUGGUUCAGCAGGUUGCUGAGGGACCUUUACGGAGUAACGGAAAUAUUCUGAAAGUGGGUCAUGGGGAUCAUCCCACGCCUCCAUAAAGUUGCCGAGAAUCACUGAACUGUGUACUUACAAAUGGUGCGCUUUAUAAUAUGAUAGUUACAUCUCAAUGAAGUCAUAAAAAGCAAGCCAGUAGGGGCAGGGGUGAGGAGGAAUAGAUGAAACAAGAUCGGUGGUAGCUUGAUCAUUGUUGAAGCUGGGUGAGUAGUGGGGGCUUAUCAAACUACUCCAUCUACUUCGUGUAUAUUUGAAAUAUUUCAUAACAUGAAGUUGAAAAAGAAAUGGCUGCAGGUCACGGGUUAGGACACAAUGAAGCCGCGACCAGAGCUCAGUGCCCUGCCCCAGGUGAGCAGCUGAUCCGCAGUGAGGAGGGAAAUGCAGCGGGUGCUGUAAUCAAGGGCAUCAUCAUUCACUCACUCGUACUGCAAAUACUUCCUUGGCACCUUCUAGGUGCCAAGUUGGGCAUACAGUAGGGAUGACCACUGGUAACCGUUUCCUGCCUUCAUGUCCAAGGAAGUCACUUUUAAGCAGAAACCUGAAGGAUGAGAAGGCACCAGCUGCUCCGAGAGCUGAGGACAGAGCUUUCCAGCCAAAGGGACAGCAUUUAGAAGCAUUUAGGAGUUCGGCUGAUUUAAAAGGCUGGGGGAGACCAGUUCCAGCUGGAGCCCCUGGGGGCCGGGGGUGGGGGUGAUGAGGGGCAGAUCCACAGGGCCUCAUGGGCCUCAUUUACAAAUCAGAUUCUUCCCUAAAAAUAUGGGUAGAAACUUCCAGUGGAAGCUUUAAGCUGGGGGAAGGUGUGAUGACUGGAGCUUUUUCUAGAACUCUUUCCUUUUCUUAGGAGGUCAUGGUAUAAGCUCAAGGGGAAAUGCAGUGUACCCGUCAGAGCUGACAUUGCCCUGAGUCGACUCUCGACUCUCGACUCAAUUGCCCCCAAGGGCCGCUGGGCCCCUCUCAGCUUCCCCUCUCUGGGAUGGAAAAAAUCAGGUGCAGCCACCUGGGAGCCACCGAGUUCUAGAGGCCAUGCAGCCCUGCGGGCAGAGCUUGGGCUUUGGGCAUUCCAGGCUCAGAACCUUGGGGAGUUGGCCAGUCAGUCAGGGACUGGGUUCCAGCUCCAGCACUAACGAGCUGGGUGAGUGAGCUCAGACAGCGCCACUUCCUCUCUGGGUUCAGAUCGAGCAGGUGCAGGGGCUGGACUCCAGCUGCUGGCCCAUGGGUCGCAUCCAGCCUUUUGAUAUUUCUGUGGCCUUCGCAGCGUUUUUGCGCAAUUUGAAUGAACAUUUUUAAAAUACGGAUUGCCACUUCUGGAACAAUCUUAAGUUGGGAGAAGAUGGGGUUGUCCCACUGCCCUGGAGUUUCCUCUUUGACCUCUCUGAAUGGCCUGCUGUCCAAGACUCAGGCUCCUGGGUUCUGGUCCUUAGUGGUGAGAUGGUCCAGGAAGGUGACGGAAAGGGUGGUGCUGGCCAGUGAUGCUGCCUGAGGCCUGGGGCUUCUCACUGACCCCGGAAGCAGCCAGGCAGCCGCAUUGUGCAACAUGCAGUGUCACAAUCUACCUGUGCCGUGCCUCCUCCCUGCUUUCCAGUCAAGCUGAGAGACUUCGAGUCGGCCGUGAGCAACUUUGAGAAGGCCCUGGAGAGAGCGAAGCUGGUUCAUAACAACGAGGCGCAGCAAGCCAUCAUCAGCGUGAGCUGCCCACCCCCCUGGGCCCUGGCUGUGGGAAGGGGUGGGUGGGCCUCAGCCCCUCAGCCCCUCAGUUAGCCAGUCCACAGGUAUUUAUUACCCACCAACUGCAGGCCACAUUCUAGGAGGGAUAGUGGCUUUCGAAUGCUUGCUACUGCCGUCAGUUUAUUCAGCAACCCCGAUACUCUUCUUUCUUUCUUUUUUUUAAAGUUUAUUUAUUUUUAAGAGAGAGUAUGAGUGGGGCAGGGGCAGACAGAGAGGGAGACAGAGGAUCUCAAGCAGGCUCCACGCUGACAGCCGAGAGCCUGAUGCGGGGCUCGAACUCACAAACCGUGAGAUUGUGACCUGAACCGAAGGCAGACGCUUAGCGCCCCUAUUUCUAUUUGAAAUAAACAAUAGAGGGGCACCUGGGUGGCUCAGUCGGUUAAGCGUCCGACUUCGGCUUAGGACAUGAUCUCACAGCUCGUGAACUUGAGCCCUGCGUUGGGCUCUGUGCUGACAGCUCAGAGCCUGGAGCCUGCUUCAGAUUCUGUCUCUCUGUCUCUGUCUCUCUCUCUCCCUCUCUGUCCCUUCCCUGCUCUGCUCUCUCUCUCAAAAAUAAACAUUAAAAAAAAUUUUUUUUAAUUGAAGUAAAUAACAGAAACGAACGUUUUACAAAACAUAUUUCCCAUUACUAUGUAUGUUGAUAUUUCCUAUUAUAUUCUCUUAGUUUUCAUUUUUUCUUUAAUGCUGGUUGAAAUCUUCUCAGUUGAUUUUGGGACUUGACAGUUUGUAAAAUGCUGCCUCCUCCAGGAGACAACAAGAAAUACAGUGUGACAGCCUCCCACGCCUAGACCCGCACUGCUCACUCUCAUUAAGGCGGCCGCCUGCCACAUGCUGCUAUUUAGAUUAAAACGCAUUAAGAGUAACUAAAAUGUAAAAUUCAGUUUCUCAGUCACACGAGCCACAUUUCAAAUGCUCAGUAGCCACAUGUGGCUUGCAGGUACCACAUAGCGCAGAUCUAGAGGAUUCUCACGGUGGUGGAAAUUUCUGUUGGAUAGUGCCGGCCUAGAGUGCAAGCUUCAGGACGCAGAGACCAGAGGGGAAUCCAGGGAAGCCUGCAGGUGCAUCAGGCUGGCCACUGCUCCCAGAACCACUCCAGGCAAAUACACACCCUCAGUAGGGUCUGCGCACCGACCCUCGACAACACAGGCAGUUUGGCAUGAAUCCCCUGGCCUCCCCACCUCCCACUGCCCGCCUAGGCUGCCCCGCGUUGAAACUCCAGAGCUACGACCAGCAAGCACCUGGCUGGACCCCAGUAAGCAUCUGCUGGUGUGAAUUAAGCAGGGUCCCUGUCCCGGGGCACCUAGCUGGCCCAGCUGGUUGAACGUCCGACUCUCGAUCUGAGCUCAGGUCUUUUAUGUAUGUAUGUAUGUAUGUAUGUAUGUAUGUGUGUAUGUACGUUUAUUCUCUAGAGAGAGAGAGAGAAAGACAGAGUGUGACUGGGGUUGGGGCAGGGAGAGGCGGAGACACAGAAUCUGAAGCAGGCUCCAGGCUCUGAGCUGUCGGCACAGAGCCCCGAUGCAGGGCUCGAAUUCACAAGCCGCGAGAUCAUGACCUGAAGUCAGACGCUCAACUAACUGAGCCACCCAGGCACUCCUAUCUCAGCUCAGGUCUUGAUCUCAGGGUGUGAGUUCAAGCCCCAAGUUGGGCUCCAUGCUGGGCACGGAGCUUACUUAACAACAACAACAAAAAGCAGGGCCUUGUCCUUGGGGAGCUUGCCCCCAUGGUCAGGAGAGGCCAGGCGUGGUAACUAGGGGUACCACGAAGGGCAUGGAUGGCCUUAGGGACCAGAUUGAAGGUUCAGGCACUCGCGAAAGGGAGCAGGGACCCUGGGAAGUGACAGCCAAGGAUGCUGCAGUUCGAGGCGGGCCUCAUUCUGGGCUUCGAAGGACCAGGACAGCAGGGUUUGGCUGGGCUGAGAAGGGGUGAGGGCUCUGAAGGCACAGGAGGCCAUGGGCACUGAGGAGUCUGUGGGAGGCAGAGAAGAGGUCCUGGGACUGGGGGCAUGGGGUGGCUCACUGUGGCAGGAGUAGGGCCAGAGGACCCUAGACGGUCAGUGGACCAGCUUUGACUCCAAGGGCUGGGAAUGGCAGAGGAGAGACCUGAUGUACUCGGUUUUUUUAGGACGUGAGCUUGUGGUUUGUGAGGACCCUGGUGGGACUACCCCUUUCCUGUCAGGGGGAAAUUGCUCCCAAGAGAGUCCACCAUGAGGCAGUCUGUGCCCUCCCUUCACCUGUCCCAGGGCAGCUCAGGCCCGUCAUACCGCUGUCUUCUUCCUCUGUUGGGGGGUCAACUCCCCAAAUGUGCACCUUGCCCUCCAGAGGAAGAGCUCUCCAGUCACACUCAUGGUUUCUCCCACUUGAUGUCCUUCUGUGCGAUUGCCCUGCAGAUGGAGCUUGACAGUUCAGUCCAGUACAUAUUUGCCGACCACUAGCUGGCUCUGAGCUGCCCAGCCCAAAGGUGACAGCUAUGGUCCUGGGCCCUCGGGAAGCUUGCUGUCAGUGGGAAGGUUAAGGCAAAAAUCCCUAUUCUUGACCAGUGCUGCAGGGACCAGGGGAUCUGGAGUGAGAGAGCCCAGGGCGGGAGGCAGGGCUGGGCUUUCCCAUCUUGGAGGGUCUGGGGUCGCCUUGAAGGCAGGGCAGUGUUUUGAAAAUGAGAGGCACGGGGAAGUCUCGGCCCUAGGUGACACCUCAGGAGACCAGGUCCCUGCCGCCUCACCUUCCUGGACCGGCAGCCCUGGGCAGGAAUGUGUACUAGCGGGCAGACCAACGCUGAACAGGAGCAUCCAGGCCCGUGGUCUUUCUGCGGAUGGUUCCCGCAUGCUUACUGCUGCUCUGCCCGCAAAAACACUCGCACAGGCUGAGGCCCAGGACCCUGGGGAAGCUGCAGAUGCCCCGGAAGCCCCUCUGAAGACAGGCCAGCACUGCAGCCCCACCCACGGUGUGUUUCUGAGGCCUCUCCAUGGCUCACUGCCUUGCUGAGUGCUUAGAGGCUUUCCACUCUACACUGGCUGAAGCCAAAAGAAGCUUUUGGUAAGGAGGUCAGAAUGAGCAGAGACAGCUCCCAAAUACACAGCCCAGCCCAAGGGAGGUGAAGUCCGAGUUCCCCGCAGUUGUGUAUCCCCUGCCACUUAGUGUGGGUAAUUCCAAGUCCGGAAGUCUACGUUUUUUAUUUAUUUUUGGGACAGAGAGAGACAGAGCAUGAACGGGGGAGGGGCAGAGAGAGAGGGAGACACAGAAUCGGAAACAGGCUCCAGGCUCUGAGCCAUCAGCCCAGAGCCCGACGCGGGGCUCGAACUCCCGGACCGUGAGAUCGUGACCUGGCCGAAGUCGGACGCUUAACCGACUGCGCCACCCAGGCGCCCCCCAAGUCCGGAAGUCUAAAUUAGCCCCAGGGCAGGAGUCUACAGAGGAGCCAGGGGACAAGGGAGGGUGGCAAGGCUGGUGCAGAGCCUUGCCUGCUGGGGAAGGGGCCUGGGUGGAGAAAGGGAGCUGCUGAUGCCAACAGGGGUUAAGAGNNNNNNNNNNNNNNNNNNNNNNNNNNNNNNNNNNNNNNNNNNNNNNNNNNNNNNNNNNNNNNNNNNNNNNNNNNNNNNNNNNNNNNNNNNNNNNNNNNNNNNNNNNNNNNNNNNNNNNNNNNNNNNNNNNNNNNNNNNNNNNNNNNNNNNNNNNNNNNNNNNNNNNNNNNNNNNNNNNNNNNNNNNNNNNNNNNNNNNNNNNNNNNNNNNNNNNNNNNNNNNNNNNNNNNNNNNNNNNNNNNNNNNNNNNNNNNNNNNNNNNNNNNNNNNNNNNNNNNNNNNNNNNNNNNNNNNNNNNNNNNNNNNNNNNNNNNNNNNNNNNNNNNNNNNNNNNNNNNNNNNNNNNNNNNNNNNNNNNNNNNNNNNNNNNNNNNNNNNNNNNNNNNNNNNNNNNNNNNNNNNNNNNNNNNNNNNNNNNNNNNNNNNNNNNNNNNNNNNNNNNNNNNNNNNNNNNNNNNNNNNNNNNNNNNNNNNNNNNNNNNNNNNNNNNNNNNNNNNNNNNNNNNNNNNNNNNNNNNNNNNNNNNNNNNNNNNNNNNNNNNNNNNNNNNNNNNNNNNNNNNNNNNNNNNNNNNNNNNNNNNNNNNNNNNNNNNNNNNNNNNNGGGGGGGGGUCAGAGCUCACACUGUGUUCCCCGAGAGCCCACCCCUGUAUUUCUCCAGUUGAUUCAUCAGAUAUUUGUUAAACACUUGCCAUGCACUGGGAAGGUGUGGGAUUUGGGGGAGACAGAGGCUCAGCCCCUGCCCCAGAGGAGCCCAGAGCCCGGGGGCGAAGUCAGGCGAUUUGAGUUGUCGGCAAAUGGGCUCCUGCGGGGCGAGCACUACUGACUGGGAGGCAUCGCUCUUCUGUGGGCACCAGCAGAGAACUCCGGCUGUCUCUGGGGAGAGCGGGAAGGUUCCAAAGAGGAAGAAUCAUCUGCUUUAGGCUCCAAAAGAUGCCCAAGGGCUUUCUAGGCAUGAGGAGGAAGGGGGAGGGCACUUCUGGUGGGAAAUAGCAGGGGCGAACACACAGCGGCAGAAUGACAGCAGCUUACGCUGUAAGCACACUUACACUUUGGGGGCUCUUCCUGCAUUCCCGCACAGGGUUAAGCAUCAGACAGGAAGGAUCUGGCUCAGUCCUCACCACCUUAGGAGUAGCUACUGGUUUUUUUGGGGGGAGCAGUGGAGGCUGAGUGAGGUUGGGUAACCUGCCUAGGACACCCAGCAGUCUGACUUGGAGCCACACUGUCCCCUGCUGCAUCACACUGCUCUCCUGGCUGGCACGUUAAGGCAGGGGCCAGGUGAGGGCACACAGGAGUCUGGCCUCCAGGGAAGCCUCGAAAAUCCCCCUUGAAACCCCCCCCUCGCCCAUCCCCCAGCUCUAGGAAGGAUUGAGGGAAGAGGAGGUGGCUGGAACCCCAGGCCCCAUGGUAGUCAGCAGGGAUGGGCCCCAGGGGGUUGGGGUGAUGAAAGAGGCUGUUCUCCAUUCAGUGCUUCCUGUGUGCCAGGCCCUCCUCUAAGGGCUUGAUGUGAGCUGACUCUCCUGAUCCCUUCGAGAACACUAUGAAAUAAGUAUUACUGGUUUUAUGGAUGAGGACACAGAGGCAGAAGGGUUCAAGUCCCACCGUGGCUUUCAGUCUCAGGCAGCCUGGCCCAGAACCCAUACUUCUACCCACUUUCUGCCUCCCCCUCUGUGGUGGUGUAUCAUUCCAGCUGCAUCGCAGUGAGAGGCAGCCAGGUCUGGGCUCCGUGUUCCCAGGAGGACAGAGCCCCUCCAGGCACCAAGGCCGAAGUCCUCCAGUAGCAGCAGCGGGAAGCUGGGUGUGAGGUUUCCACAGCCCUUUAUUAUCCAGAGCCUGCCAUAUGGUGGCUGGAUCUCCCCAGGGAGGGAAUCUGCCCCUGCUCCCACAGGCCCUUAGAGCUGCUCUCAGAAGCCGCAGGGGCAAUUGAUGUGAAGAGAUACAGCAGGGAAAGGGCAGAUGCACCUUGCAGCUUCCCAUCCCCUUGGCGGGCCACGUGCCGGGGAAGGUAUCCUGAAAACCCAUUGGGAAGGCCCUCGGGCGAGCGGCUGGGUACUGCUUGGCACUUCCCUCCGGGAACAGCAGGCGGCAGCAUUGCACAUGUCUUCACCACCAAAUGGAGGCCUUUUCCCUGCUGUGAACUUUGGUUUUGGGGUGGGGGCGGGGGGGGGGCGUGCUUGUAGGCAUCUUAGAGACCAGGGGCUUCCAGAAAGAGAAUAUGGAGGAACUCAGGAGGGGAUUGUGACUUUUCUCUGUAGCUCAUAAAAACAUGGGGCAAGGAUCACUUUGGUUGUAAACAUAGCUCUCCAGCUGAACUUCCUGCUAACAGUCUGCUCAUAUUUUGAUAGGGAAACUCCCAAUAAAUGAUGAAUGUGUUUCCCAGGGACAAAGAGAAAUGCAGAAUAAGGGUGCUGGAGAAAAGAACCCCUCUGUGAUUUUCCAGUUCCUAUGUUAUUUUUCGUAGGGAAAGAGAAUGUGCUCCGAGGGCAGACCGUCCUGGGUUCAAAUUCUGGUCCUGCCAUUUAUUUAUCUGCAGUGUGACCACUGGCUGUGAUUUCUGUCAUCAGUCUCGGGUCCUUUGCGAACUUGAAUCACUGACACUAUGCAAUUCCAUGACAACCGAAUGGUAUCACCUCUGCAGCUCACACGAUGUCUGGAACAGGGCUGGCGCUCAGGAAACAAUGAUCCCCUUUCUCUGCUUUUGGAAAGGCGUGCUAUCUCUCAGAAGCACAGGCCCCUAUAGGUUGAGGUUCACCCAGGCCCAGAGAUGAACAAACUUUUACUUUUCUUCCCUCCUAUUUCCUGUUUUUCAGAAGAGGCCAUUGCAUUGGAAAAUAAGAUCAUGAUGGUAAGGGAGAAGGGAACAAUGAGAAGAGAAAGAAACGAGCCUGAGAAGGUGAUGAAGCAUUGGGAACGAGAGCCAGUUGAGAACGAGAAAGAGACAGAAGACAAGUUGUCUCAGGAGAUUCUGAGGAUCACAGCAACUGGACAAGAAGAAAACGGGCAGAGAGAAGUAGGGGGAGCCCGUUCCUUUCAGAGAACAGGGCUGGGAGCCAUGGGGCAAGAUUCAAGGGACGUUGCCAAGAAAGCAUCUGGAGAAGCAGGCGCAGAAAGAGCGGGAAAUGUGAGCAGAAGGGAAUCGAGAGAAAUUUACAGAAGGCCUUCAGAGCUGGACCAGAAACUCUCAGGGGACUUAAGUGGAAAGGAGUCGGAGGGACUGGAGAGGAAAGUUUCAGAAGCCAGCAGAAAAGAGUCAGAAGUAGAGCAAACGGGACUGGGAGGAACAGCAGAAAUGACCACAGCAGAAGAUGCUGAAGAAAUGGAAAAAGAUGAAAAAGCAGAUGAAUGAAGCAGUCAGCAGCUGGCAUUAGAAUCAGGGGGCUUGUGUUCCCAGGGGCUGUGGGGAUCUUAAACUGGACUUUCGAGCUGAGAUUUGUCUUUAACGGGAGAAUAUGGGGCCUAGGCUCCGCAGGUCACUUCUGCCUAAUUCUGUUACUGUUUUCCCUUUAAAUA
rnacentral:lncRNA from 1 species